ACCCCCUUCAUCAGUCCAAGGCGACCCCACCGCCUUGGACUCGGGCUCCUCCCUCUCCGUCCUCCUCCCUGGCCGUCGCCACCGUCGACCACCGGGAUUGUUCCUCUGCCUCCAAAAUCCCAAGCUAUCCGAAACAUCUCCAAUCCUUCCUCCCAAUCCUCCCAAACCCUCUCCGAUGACGUGAGUGGAAGAACGAGAUCCUCUACAUCAACGAGUCCGGCGGCGUGAUCUGCUUCGGCCGCGGCCCACCGAGCCUGCUUUCCACGUCUAUGUCCUCGCCGGCUUCAACCCUAAUUUUCUUGUUUCUAUAGCUUGGAUCGGUAAAUCGCCGAGGAUCUGCAAGGAUUACUCCAUGGAUUCCUGGAGGUUCUGAAGCCCAUGACUCAGCAAAAGUUGCAUGUUGAGGGAGAAACAUACCGGAAAGUUUUAUCUGAAUUCCUUCAGACUGUGCCGGCAUUUCUAGGAGGGAAUUGUACUUGUUCACAUUGCAGGAGGCUUGUUGCUGUCAACUUGCUAGGCAGAAAGGAAUAUAAGAGCAAAAACCAGCAUCAUGGAAAUAUUUCAGACGAUGAUGCAGCUGUCAACAGUUAUCCAGUCACUGAUCCUCCAAUGAAUAACAGCUGUGAUCAUGUACUGAAGGCUGCAAUAGUAGUAUUCCUCACGCUAUGGAUUGUCAUUGCAUUUUUUGCAGGCAUGAAUGAUCCUGAAUCUCUUUCAUCGCAGCCAUCAUAAAGUGCUACAUUUGCUCAUUUUGAAUAUUGUCAUUAGCUAAUAGUACCCCUACGAAGUGUAUUCAUUCGACAUAGUGUAUAUGUUUAAAGAACUGCAUAUGAUUAAUAGACCUGGUAUGAUGUUAUUUUUUAUGUAAAAAUCACAAGCGCUAUCACAUGCAUUUGGCCAUCCA